rfam:Canis lupus familiaris chromosome 23, whole genome shotgun sequence.
GCCUGGGUGGCUCAGUGGUGGGGCGCCUGCCUUCGGCUCAGGUCAUGAUCCCGGGGGUCCUGGGAUCGAGUCCCACAUCGGGCU